AUGCUUAACACAUGCAAGUCGAACGGCAGCACGAGGAGCUUGCUCCUUGGUGGCGAGUGGCGGACGGGUGAGUAACGCGUAGGAAUCUACCUUAUAGUGGGGGACAACUCGAGGAAACUCGAGCUAAUACCGCAUAUUCUCUUCGGAGGAAAGCAGGGGACCUUAGGGCCUUGUGCUAUUAGAUGAGCCUGCGUCAGAUUAGCUUGUUGGUGGGGUAAAGGCCUACCAAGGCGACGAUCUGUAGCUGGUCUGAGAGGAUGAUCAGCCACACUGGGACUGAGACACGGCCCAGACUCCCACGGGAGGCAGCAGUGGGGAAUAUUGGACAAUGGGCGCAAGCCUGAUCCAGCAAUGUCGCGUGUGUGAAGAAGGCCCUCGGGUUGUAAAGCACUUUCAGCGGGGAAGAAAAGUUCAAGGUUAAUAACCUUGGGCCAUGACAUUACCCGCAGAAGAAGCACUGGCUAACUCUGUGCCAGCAGCCGCGGUAAUACAGAGAGUGCGAGCGUUAAUCGGAAUUACUGGGCGUAAAGCGCGCGUAGGUGGAUAUUUAAGUCGGAUGUGAAAGCCCUGAGCUCAACUUGGGAACUGCAUCCGAUACUGGGUAUCUAGAGUAUGGUAGAGGGAAGUGGAAUUUCCGGUGUAGCGGUGAAAUGCGUAGAUAUCGGAAGGAACACCAGUGGAA
rnacentral:rRNA from 1 species